rnacentral:rRNA from 1 species
CGAGUGGCGGACGGGUGAGUAAUGUCUGGGAAACUGCCUGAUGGAGGGGGAUAACUACUGGAAACGGUAGCUAAUACCGCAUAACGUCGCAAGACCAAAGAGGGGGACCCUCGGGCCUCUUGCCGUCGGAUGUGCCCAGAUGGGAUUAGCUUGUUGGUGGGGUAACGGCUCACCAAGGCGACGAUCCCUAGCUGGUCUGAGAGGAUGACCAGCCACACUGGAACUGAGACACGGUCCAGACUCCUACGGGAGGCAGCAUG